AAAUAAUAAGGUCUGCCUCAGAAUUUGACCUUUGAGGCUAUUCAAGUUUCUGUUUUAUUAUUAUUGCUUCACUUACAUAGUUUGUUCUAUUUUACCAUCUUUAUGCAAUUCUAAUUUCGUGUCUUUCCUACGUACCUGUAAUAAUAUUCCCAUAUUUGCUGGUGAUGUACUCAAGGAAUAAGAUUCUGAUAUGCUUCUCGAAUGAGAAAGACAGAACACAGAAUCUGACCAGUCUUGCUUCUGUGUCCUAAUGAGCUUUUUGAGUUUGGAAAAGGACACACACCAUUCUUGGCUUCCUUUAGGAAUUUAUUCGUUUCCAGCCUUUCUUCUAAAUGAGAUUUGCCUUUACCAUCUGCAAAAUCAAACUUUCAGUUAUUUUUUUAGAGUUUUCGCAUGUGUGUUAAUACUCUUUACAGAUCUCUUAUAAACUCAAGCUUAAUCCUUACCACAAGAACAUAUCUUGAAACUUGUCAUAACUUGUGUUUGUUUCAGUUUUGUUUGUUCUACAUGGGAGCCAGAUUUUCACGUAUAGCGAAAAGGUUUCUUCCUAAGAGUAAAGUAAGGAUUUUGAUGGUUGGUCUUGAUGGUUCAGGGAAGACUACUAUCCUUUAUAAGCUGAAGCUUGGAGAGGUUGUGACAACAGUGCCUACUAUUGGUAUGUGACAUGAGCUUUUUUUAUAUUCUCUUGUUUGUUAUUGCUGUUGAAACCUCUCUAGGUGAGGGAUUGAUCAUGAAGUUAGAGUAAGAUGUUGAUUCAACUAAAGACAGAACACAGAAUCUGAACAGCUCCAACUUUUGUCUCCUUUUUAUGGAUCUUAGCUUAUUUGUAGAUAGUUACUUUGUCCCUUUGAUUGUUGUUGCAUCUGUGAGGAUGAAAAAUUUUAAUAGCUUGAUAAUUCUCAUGUCGAUGUUUAUAUCGUUCUUGGUUGUUUAUCAUUUUACAGGGUUCAACCUUGAGACUGUAGAAUACAAAGGUAUCAAUUUCACUGUAUGGGAUAUAGGAGGACAAGAGAAGGUAAAAAUCCAUGUCAAAUUCAUAUUCAUCUAGUGUUUAUCUCUCUGCAAGNNNNNNNNNNNNNNNNNNNNNNNNNNNNNNNNNNNNNNNNNNNNNNNNNNNNNNNNNNNNNNNNNNNNNNNNNNNNNNNNNNNNNNNNNNNNNNNNNNNNGGUCCACAAUCUUGACCUAGGCUCUGAUACCAAUUGUUGGAAUCUAUAUAACAAGCCAACUUUCCAUUAGUAUGAUAUUGUCCGCUUUGGACCUAUAACUCAAGCCCGCACGGAUUUAUUGGGCUCCUUCCCAAAAGGUCUCAUACUAAUUGAAGUGGGAUUUGACUUAUAUAUUAGAAACUUCUCUUUCUAAUCUUCCGAUGUGGGAUAUUGGUUUGUAUUCCAAUAGUAAUUUCAAGAUCAAUAUCUUUGUCUCUUUGGGUCUUGGCAUUGUGUUGCGGAACACAAUGAGUGAAUAUGUUGAAUUCUGUUAUAUAAGACUAUACUUACCUACAGAGCCGGCCCAAAGGCCAAGCCCAUGAAGCAUAUGCUUGCGGCCCUUCCUUUUAUAUAGUAUUUUCGGCCCUAUUUUUUCAAAAAGACUCUUUAAUAUAGUGGUAUUAACCUUUUUUUGAGGGUUAGAGGUAACAAGUUCGAGGCCUAUAAGCAGCCAUUAUUUUUAAUUUCCUUGUAGCCUUCCAUAGCAUAGGGACGGCUCUGCUUACCUAGCUACGUUUUUAUUGUGAUCUGUCGAUGUGGUCAACGUAUAAUGGUCCAAUGAAAUCCUUCAAAGGAUAAUAAUAUGAGAUAGUAAAAAAAAAGUUCUCUCGAUAGUUUUGUAGAAAACAAUGUGAACAUUAAAAUCUCUUUUUUUCAAUGACUUUCCAAUUAGAGCCUUGUAAGAGUUAAAAUGUACGACCUUGCAUAUUUUCCACUAUAAUUGUAUGAACUUUAUUUAGUAAAUCUGAAAUUGAAAAUAUACAAAUACUAAAAUACUAAAAACACAAUUAAUACACAAAAUCUUAUAUACAACCGUGAGUAGUGUGGAUUAGCCUCUAGUAAUAAUUAUUAACAAAUUAAUGUAGUAAGUUAGAUAUCAAAUUUUUUUCUCAAUUUGAAUGGUUAUUCAAUAUUUUUGAAAUUUAUUAAAACAUCUUUGAUAAUUAAAUUUCAUACAUUAAUGUUUGAAAUUAUUUUAUCUUUAAUGAUUAGUAUUAUUAUUAUUAUUAUUUUGUUCUUUCAAAACUAUUUUUUUAUAUAAAGUUUGGUUUUCACAGUUCGUGAUAUGUGUCAUGUCAUGUCUACCAAGUGAAUUUUAACACAUGUGAGAAGAAAAAUAAUAUCAUGAAUAAUAAAUCCUAAAAGUAAAAGGUUUACAUUUUUUGUAAAUGUAUAUAAGAAUAUAAAAAAAAAAAAAAUUAUACAAUCAAUUAAAAAUCCUAAAAUUAAAUAUUUUAAAUUGUAACUAAUUCUUAUAAUUUCUUUUCGUUUUUGAUAAAGUUGAUUUGCUAAUUAAUAUAUUGGGUAAUUCUCAGGCACUAAUUUCAGUUUUUCUUCCAAACUUAGCACACACUCGCCUAUUUUUCAAAAUUAGCACCAUAUAUUCAAAUUAAAUUUUCAAAACUAAAUCAUAAACUCUAAAUAAUAAAUUCUACCUCCUAAAAACUAUACCUUUAAUGUAAAAUAGUCAACUCAAACCUCAAUAAAAAAUUCUAAAAAUUAUUAAAAUAUUUUAAUUUUGUUAAUUAAUGCUAUUUUUGGAAAUUUGUGGAGUGUGUGCUAUUAUUGUUCAUAAAACAUACUUUGAUGUUAUUUUAAGGUAUUUCUCAAAUUUAUUUAAAUCAAAGUCACUAAAUCUAAGAUCUUUUACACAAAAUGUUGAUGCUUCAAUUGGUAAAAAUUCAAAGAAACUGAAAUUUUUUUAAUCAAAUGGUAAAAAAUGUUUGGAUAAAGAUAAUUUGUUAAUUUAAUAUAUUAAAAUUCACUAUUAUAAGUCUCUAGAAAUAUUUUAAAGCUUGUUUUUAUUACAAUCGAAAUCAAACAAAAUAAUCAUACAAACAAAAACCACUUGUAAUAUAUUUUGUAAUAUAUAACAAAAUAAAUGUAGGCAUGGGAGAACUCUAGAGUUAUAUGUUGCAUAGCAUAUAUGGUCUAAGGGAGGUGGUAGCUAACAUUGAGGUGGCAGGUGGCGUGGAUGUGAUGGAUGGUUAUGAUAAAUAUAGUUACUAAUUAUUUAAUUGCUAUUAUUUUAUUUUUUAUAUGUGGUUAAAUCUAAUUUUGAUGAAACAUUUUCAUGUUUUUAUCAAUGGAGAGACACAUGGUCAUGAUGGCCAUUGCUAGCUUAACCAUUGUUAGUCCCCGUUGGGAGGGGAGGUAGUUUUAGUGAAGAUAAUAUACUUUUUGUCAUCGUGUUUAAAAGAUCUUGUGAGCUAACACUUGCUCAUUUUUUUGCAAAAGAUUUUCUAAAUCUGAAGUUUUAUUAAAAAGUAUAAAUUUUAAUUACCUCAAAUUGCAAAUCGAUUAGACUCAUGGUGUUGAAAUAGUGCAUUCUGGUUUUGCUUUAUGAUUGCAAAAUUUAUUUGACUCAAAGUCACCAUAUCAAAGAUCUUUACACAAAAUGUUUAAUGCUUCAAUUGGUAAAAAUUCAAAGAAACUGGAAUCUUUUUUUAAUCAAAUGGUAAAUAUAAAUGUUAGCAGUGAAAGAAAAUUACAGGAAACGAACAAUGCGAUCAAACAAACAAGGUUUCCUUCCAAUAAUAAUAAACCAACCAAUUGGUUUUCUCAAUUUAUUUUGAAUCAAUUUACCUUAACUGGAUUAAACCGAUAUCCAAUUAGAAAAUCUAAUCUAGCAUUCGUAUAUCUAUCUUAACAUUUUUGAAGUACAUUUUAUAUUAAAAUCUAUUUAGGUUAUAACUUUUUAAUUGCAAUAUUUGCAUAAUUAAACCAUUGCCAUUUGAACAAAUAACAAAACUUAUAAGUAAUUUUUGUAAAUAAAUCACAAGCAAAUAGCAAAAUUGGAAACAAAUUUUUAUUAUAUCAAAAUAGAAUAUCUCUCCAAUGUAUUUAUAUAAUCGUAUUUGUUUUUAACUUAUAUAAUUACAUAAAAUAUAUUUAUAAUAAAAUAGAGAUUUUUCCACACAUUUUGUAAUUUAAAUUUUUUGGAAACGGACGUAUAUAACUCAAUCAGUAAAGGAAAAAAUAUAUGUAAAACGUCUACAUAAGGUAGAAAAAUUAAGAUAAUAGUUCAAAAUCAUUAUAAAUAGGAUUAAUAUGUUCAAAAAUACAAAUGAGCAUGAACUUUUAUUUCUCAUGUAUCCAAAUUAAAAUAAAAAAAUUCAGUUUAAUCCGGUUCUUUAUUUAAGAAAAAUAAAACUUUUCAAAAGUUUCAAAAUAUUAUAUUUUUUUUAAAUAUUAUAAAUAGUAAAACUUUUUAAAGCUGCAAAUUAUAUUAUUUAAUUUGAUUUUUAUAGAAUAUAUAAAAUAUUUAAACACUACAAAAAUAUUAUUAAUAUUUUACCUCUAAAUAUUUAAAAUAUAAUAAUUUUAUACAUAAAUGAUUUAACGGGUUUGAGUUUACAUAAAUAUGAUUAUAUUUUUCUUACUGGUUGUCUAUAUUUGAAAUCUUUUACGGGUUAAGUUAAAAUAUAAUAUAUUUUUAUAACAAAAUCGUCUUGCGGGUUGACCAUAUAUAUCAUAAAAUUAUAUAAAAUGAAAAUAAUAUAAACACGUAUAAAACUAGAUUAUAUAAACCAAGUACAAAAAUGAUCAACCAAACAAAUAUAUUAAACUAUGGAUUUAUGGUAUACCACGGGUAAAUCCUAGUUAAUUACGAAUUCUAAACUAAUCAAUCUAUCAAUCUAAAGAUUAAUAAAACAAUCUCUGAUUAUACAAAUUAGAACUCAGAUCUCUCUCGUUGUGUAAUCAGCCACCAACCUCUCUUCACUUACACCACUACACAGUAACAAUGUCUUCCACCGCCGCCGCCGUAACGUACUCCGCCAAACUCGCCGUGAAUCCUCUCAGAAUCUCUUCCCUCUCUUCCAGAUCGGUUCUUCCAUCCGCCAUUUCCGUUCGCAGUCGACGCGAUAUUCCACAUAAACGGCUUAUCCUAGUGACGUGCACUACCACCGGAGACGGAGCGAAACCAACCGUUCUCGUAGCGGAGAAGCUCGGCGAGGCUGGGGUUCAGCUACUUGAGAAGUUCGCGAACGUUGAUUGUUCGUAUAAUUUAACCCCUGAGGAGUUAAACACGAAGAUCUCGCUCUGUGAUGCGUUGAUUGUGAGGAGUGCGACGAAGGUAGGUCGUGAGGUUUUUGAAUCGUCUCGUGGUAGGCUUAAGGUUGUUGGUAGAGCUGGUGUUGGGAUUGAUAAUGUGGAUCUGAGUGCUGCGACUGAGUUUGGUUGUUUGGUUGUUAAUGCCCCUACUGCGAAUACGAUCGCUGCUGCUGAACAUGGGAUCGCGCUUUUGGCUGCCAUGGCUAGGAAUGUUGCUCAAGCUGAUGCUUCUGUUAAAGCUGGUAAGCCCACUUUUCGAACUUGUUAGAUGUAAGGUGUGAAAGAAUUGCAAAAUUGAUAGAUUCUUGUAGUGUGGAUGAAUUGAUGGUUUUGGUUUUGGGUAUAAUGUAGGAGAGUGGAAGAGGAACAAGUAUGUUGGUGUAUCACUUGUGGGGAAGACAUUAGCUGUGAUGGGAUUUGGUAAAGUUGGAUCAGAAGUUGCAAGACGUGCUAAAGGACUUGGUAUGCGUGUUAUUGCUCAUGAUCCUUAUGCUCCUGCGGAUCGUGCUCAUGCCAUUGGUGUGGAUUUAGUGAGCUUUGAUGAAGCGCUUUCUACUGCUGAUUUCAUUUCUUUACAUAUGCCUCUUACACCUGCUACGUCGAAGAUGCUUAAUGAUGAAACGUUUGCUAAGAUGAAGAAAGGAGUGAGGAUUGUUAAUGUGGCUCGUGGAGGUGUUAUUGAUGAAGAUGCAUUGGUGAGAGCUUUAGAUGCUGGUAUCGUUGCUCAGGCUGCUCUUGAUGUUUUUACUAAAGAGCCUCCGGCUAAGGAUAGUAAGUUGGUGCAGCAUGAGAGGGUUACGGUUACACCUCAUCUUGGAGCAAGUACCAUGGAGGCUCAGGUUCUGCAUUUUUAUCAACAAGUCAAGUGAUGCUUUUGUUAUGAUGUCUCUCUUGAUUAAUUACUGUAUGUGGCUUUGAUAGGAAGGAGUAGCUCUUGAGAUUGCAGAAGCUGUUGUUGGAGCUCUUAACGGAGAGCUUGCUUCAACUGCUGUCAAUGCACCUAUGGUUUCUGCUGAGGUGAGCCUUCUUUACACUAUACUAGUAAGAGAUUCAUAUAUUCUUUGCCAAAACAAAAACUUAGCAACUUAAACAUUGAUCGAUAAUGCUGGAAGUAGAAGAAAUUAUCUUCAGGGUGUAAUUGUAUUUACGAAAGCUUAUUAUAUCCACAGGUUCUCGCAGAGUUGAAACCAUAUGUGGUUCUGGCAGAGCAAUUAGGGAGACUAGCUGUCCAAUUGGUGGGUGGAGGAAGCGGUGUGAAGAAUGUGAAAGUGACCUACGCCUCCGCUCGAGCCACUGAUGAUCUUGACACUAGACUUCUCAGAGCCAUGAUAACAAAGGGUAUCAUUGAGCCGAUUUCUGAUGUUUAUGUAAACCUGGUCAACGCUGAUUACACUGCAAAACAGAGAGGGCUGAGAAUCUCAGAGGAACGAGUCCUCCUUGACGGUUCACCAGAGAGCCCACUCGAUACCAUCACGGUUCAGCUAUGCAACGUCGAGUCCAAAUUCGCGAGCGCCUUAUCUGAAUCUGGAGAAGUCAAAGUUGAAGGGAGAGUUAAAGAUGGAGUCCCCCAUUUAACAAAGGUGGGAUCUUUUGAAGUAGACGUGAGUCUUGAAGGAAGCAUAAUACUGUGUAGGCAGGUAGAUCAGCCUGGCAUGAUCGGAACUGUCGGAAGCAUCUUGGGAGAGUCGAAUGUUAACGUCAGUUUCAUGAGUGUUGGAAGAAUCGCGCCGAGAAAGCAAGCGGUUAUGGCGAUUGGUGUUGAUGACAUGCCGAGCAAAGAGACAUUGAAGAAAAUUGGAGAGAUUCCAGCCGUAGAGGAGUUUGUCUUCCUCAAGCUAUAGUUUUGCUACCAAAAACUCGGUGAGGAUUCGAUAAAAAAGAAUGGCUUUCGCUUUAUUUGUUUUGGUCUUUUCUACCACAGUUUUGAUAGUGUCGAAGUAGCUUAAGAGAGAGUACGACUUGGUUGAGAUGAAAUAAUAAGGUCUGCCUCAGAAUUUGACCUUUGGAGGCUAUUCAAGUUUCUGUUUUAUUAUUAUUGCUUCACUUACAUAUUUUGUUCUAUUUUACCAUCUUUAUGCAAUCCUAAUUUCGUGUCUUUCCUACGUACCUGUAAUAAUAUUCCCAUAUUUGCUGGUGAUGUACUCAAGGAAUAAGAUUCUGAUAUGCUUCUCGAAUGAGAAAGACAGAACACAGAAUCUGACCAGUCUUGC
rnacentral:lncRNA from 1 species